rnacentral:lncRNA from 1 species
GUGCUCGGGAUGACUCGGAGAGGUGCCGGUGGAGGCGGGGCGAAACAGGCUACAGGCUCCGGCCGUGGCAAGCCACAACGGUGGAUGCAGGCGCGGGCGCGCGAAUCCGUGUCUGUAUCUUCUCCUGCGUUUGUGGCUUCCUCCCUUCUUUAAAUCUCUUCCCUUUUAAUUGAUCUGUUGAUAGGUGAGGUGAUGUGUACUAGAUGUAGUACUCCGUAGAUGGAUUUCUCCCAUAGAAAAUUUGUACUAGUUGGUGUUGGUGGUCUUUGCAGAAUCGUACGUGAUCCCAAACACCAGCAACAGGGGAGGCGUGUGCUGCGGAUAGUGAUGCAAAUUCUGCGGAACUGAGGACG